UACGUAGGUGGCAAGCGUUGUCCGGAUUUACUGGGCGUAAAGAGCGCGCAGGCGGUCGUUUCAAGUCGAGUGUGAAAGCCCCCCGGCUCAACUGGGGAGGGUCACUCGAUACUGAUCGACUCGAAGGCAGAAGAGGGAAGCGGAAUUCCCGGUGUAGUGGUGAAAUGCGUAGAUAUCGGGAGGAACACCAGUGGCGAAGGCGGCUUUCUGGUCUGCUCUUGACGCUGAGGCGCGAAAGCUAGGGUAGCAAACGGG
rnacentral:rRNA from 1 species